GCUCGCCCAUUGUUUGUCGGUGAUUGCUAGUAGCCAUUGCUUUAACUAGUUCAUCAAGUGUGGGGCCAGAAACGACCAAGAUGGCCGAAGAAGAGUGAUGGAAAGGGGGAGCGGCCGAAAUCUGUGGUAUCCUCCUUUGAUCCAUUAAUCGAAAAUCGAAAGAAUCCAGCGUUUCCGGCGAAACACGAAACCGACGAUUGAAACGCACAAUCUUCCAAGAUGACGAGGAAGAUUUCGAAGAUGUGUGCCGAAAGAAACAACCCCGGCUGGAUAGAAUCGCAGUGCCAACUACUUCAAGAUGUCCGCAGCUGCAACGAGACGAGCUUUCAGAGCAGCAGAAAACAGAGAGCGAGUCACCUGAGAAUCUUGAAAUGGGUUUUCAGGUUCGAAAAAUGGGCAAAUUGAUUGUCCAGCUAUGAAUGAAGUAAGAAACUUCGCAGCGUUUAAGAAACAAAACUACCAAACCUCGACUACCUACGAUAAGCUGCGGUUGGUCUGUACAACUGAUGAUAGUGAGCCGUUGUAAAUUAAUUCGUCUUUGUUGAAUAAAUGGUUAAAACUCAAUUAGUAACACCCUCA